rnacentral:rRNA from 1 species
UACGGAGGGUGCAAGCGUUAUCCGGAUUUACUGGGCUUAAAGGGCGCGUAGGCGGGCCCUUAAGUCAGUGGUGAAAGCUCCGAGCUUAACUCGGAAACUGCCAUUGAUACUAUAGGUCUUGAAUUCGGUCGAGGUUGGCGGAAUGUGUCGUGUAGCGGUGAAAUGCUUAGAUAUGACGCAGAACACCGAUUGCGAAGGCAGCUAGCUAGACCGACAUUGACGCUGAGGCACGAAAGCGUGGGGAUCAAACAGG